rnacentral:rRNA from 1 species
UAUAGAGUUUGAUCCUGGCUCAGGACGAACGCUGGCGGCGUGCUUAACACAUGCAAGUCGAACGAUGAAGCCCUUCGGGGUGGAUUAGUGGCGAACGGGUGAGUAACACGUGGGCAAUCUGCCCUUCACUCUGGGACAAGCCCUGGAAACGGGGUCUAAUACCGGAUAACACUCUGUCCCGCAUGGGACGGGGUUAAAAGCUCCGGCGGUGAAGGAUGAGCCCGCGGCCUAUCAGCUUGUUGGUGGGGUGAUGGCCUACCAAGGCGACGACGGGUAGCCGGCCUGAGAGGGCGACCGGCCACACUGGGACUGAGACACGGCCCAGACUCCUACGGGAGGCAGCACGUGGGGAAUAUUGCACAAUGGGCGAAAGCCUGAUGCAGCGACCGCCGCGUGAGGGAUGAUCGGCCUUCGGGUUGUAAACCUCUUUCAGCAGGGAAGAAGCGAAAGUAC